GGAAGGAGCUCUGCCUGAGCGAGGAGAGGGAAGAGCCCUGAUUGCAUCAGCUGUUGGAGACUGGUUCUCAUAGUGGUUAACUUCACCCCCCCAGGAUGGGACUCACUGGCCGAGCAGUUUCCUCCAUUCCUGUGCCACCUCUCCCUUGCAGAGCAGCCUCCUUGCUGGAUCUGUCCAGGCUCACCAUGGUUUUUCUUGCCUCUCCAGGCAGUGACCCCCCCGCA